AGAGUUUGAUCCUGGCUCAGAGCGAACGCUGGCGGCAGGCUUAACACAUGCAAGUCGAACGCCAUCUUCGGAUGGAGUGGCAGACGGGUGAGUAACGCGUGGGAACGUACCCUUUGGUUCGGAAUAUUCUCGGGAAACUGGGAGCAAUACCGGAUAAGCCCUACGGGGGAAAGAUUUAUCGCCAAAGGAGCGGCCCGCGUCAGAUUAGGUAGUUGGUGGGGUAAAGGCCUACCAAGCCUACGAUCUGUAGCUGGUCUGAGAGGAUGAUCAGCCACACUGGGACUGAGACACGGCCCAGACUCCUACGGGAGGCAGCAGUGGGGAAUCUUGGACAAUGGGCGCAAGCCUGAUCCAGCCAUGCCGCGUGGAUGAUGAAGGCCUUAGGGUUGUAAAAUCCUUUCAACGGGGACGAUAAUGACGGUACCCGUAGAAGAAGCCCCGGGUAACUUCGUGCCAGCAGCCGCGGGAAUACGAAGGGGGCUAGCGUUGCUCGGAAUUACUGGGCGUAAAGCGCACGUAGGCGGAUAUUUAAGUCGGAGGUGAAAGCCCAGGG
rnacentral:rRNA from 1 species